UCAGGAGGAACACCAAUGGCGAAGGCAGGUCUCUGGGCCAAUACUGACACUGAGGAGCGAAAGUCUGGGGAGCGAACAGGAUUAGAUACCCUGGUAGUCCAGACCGUAAACGGUGGGCACUAGUUGUGGGAACCUUCCACGGUUUCUGCGACGCAGCUAACGCAUUAAGUGCCCCGCCUGGGGAGUACGAUCGCAAGAUUAAAACUCAAAGGAAUUGACGGGGCCCCGCACAAGCAGCGGAGCAUGCGGCUUAAUUCGACGCAACGCGAAGAACCUUACCAAGGCUUGACAUAUAGGGAAAAGUGGCAGAGAUGUCAUGUCCGCAAGGGCUCUAUACAGGUGGUGCAUGGUUGUCGUCAGCUCGUGUCGUGAGAUGUUGGGUUAAGUCCCGCAAACGAGCGCAACCCUCGUUCUGUGUUGCCAGCAUUUAGUUGGGGACUCACAGGAGACUGCCGGGGUUAACUCGGAGGAAGGUGGGGAUGACGUCAAAUCAUCAUGCCCCUUAUGUCUUGGGCUGCACGCAUGCUACAAUGGCCGGUACA
rnacentral:rRNA from 1 species